rnacentral:rRNA from 1 species
AUUGAACGCUGGCGGCGUGCCUUACACAUGCAAGUCGAACGGCAGCACGGGUGCUUGCACCUGGUGGCGAGUGGCGAACGGGUGAGUAAUACAUCGGAACGUACCUUAUCGUGGGGGAUAACGCAGCGAAAGCUGUACUAAUACCGCAUACGCCCUGAGGGGGAAAGCGGGGGAUCGCAAGACCUCGCGCGAUUAGAGCGGCCGAUGCCUGAUUAGCUUGUUGGUGGGGUAAAAGCCCACCAAGGCGACGAUCUGUAGCUGGUCUGAGAGGACGAUCAGCCACACUGGGACUGAGACACGGCCCAGACUCCUACGGGAGGCAGCAGUGGGGAAUUUUGGACAAUGGGGGCAACCCUGAUCCAGCAAUGCCGCGUGAGUGAAGAAGGCCUUCGGGUUGUAAAGCUCUUUUGUCAGGGAAGAAACACCGGCUCUAACACAGUCCGGGAAUGACGGUACCUGAAGAAUAAGCACCGGCUAACUACGUGCCAGCAGCCGCGGUAA